rnacentral:rRNA from 1 species
GCCGCGGUAUUAUGACCGUGCGAAGGUAGCGUAAUCACUUGUCUUUUAAAUAAAGACCUGUAUGAAUGGCUAUACGAAAGCUCAACUGUCUCUUUGAUCCAAUCAAUAAAAUUAAUUUCCCCGUGCAGAAGCGGGGAUAAGCCUAUAAGACGAGAAGACCCUAUGGAGCUUUAAAUAUACAACUAAUUAUAUUUAUUAUAUUACCUACGGAUAAAAAAUAAAUUUAUAUAUUAUAGUCURWACUUUAGGUUGGGGCGACCACGGAGAAAAACUUAUCCUCCGAGAUAAAUAAUUUAGAAUAACACUUCAAAAACUAAUAUAUUUAUUAUAAGUGAUCCACUAAGUGAUUAACGAACCAAGUUACCCUAGGGAUAACAGCGCAAUCCUUUCCAAGAGUCCCUAUCGACGAACGGGUUUACGACCUCGAUGUUGGAUCAGGACACCCCAAUGGUGCAGCCGCUAUUAAAGGUUCGUUUGUUCAACGAUUAAAGUCCCACGUGAUCUGAGUUC